rnacentral:lncRNA from 1 species
AGAGCGGCGCAGGUCGGACUCGGCCGCCCAGCCUCGGCCUGGGGGAGGUGCCGCUCCCCGCGUCCCUCUCCUCGCUCUCCAAGCAUCCCCUGUCGCAGGCGGGAGACUGGGAUCGAUUGGAGGUCGGAGGGCGCUUGAGAACCUGUUUCCCAGGCCUGGGGAGGAGAGCGCGCCGGAGCCCUCUUGUCCCUAGGGAGAAAAGGAGUUUUGCUCUUCGCUUCUUCUUCUGGCUGCCGAGGGCCAGAGGCAGCCACCAGCCUACCCCUCCAGGCAACCCCCUCCCCGCCCGGCUGCUUCCUCUCUCCAGAGGCCGGACCCGCGGCUGGCUGGCGCCGCGGCUGCUUUUCCACGUCCCGAUUUCUCCGCAGUCUGCAGUCUAUCCCGGUCUGCGCCGCGGGACAGAGCACCGGGGCCCGGGAUCCAGAAGCCCCUACCAAUCCGGCCAGCGUCAGUCUCACGCCUGAGGGGCCUGUUCCCGGGUUGCACGCAAAACAGCCCCAGCGACCUCCGGGACGCCACGGGGAGCUCCCAGGCCUCCACCUGGAGAGGACUUGGUAGAGGAAGACAGCCUCCGUGCCGCCUACACGGAGCCAGGCAGCCUUCAGCGCCUCCGAGCCGCCUGCCCGCACUCGCCGACUGGAGGAACCGGAGCUGGCGCCCGAGACGCUGCAGCCCUACUCCCACUCUGGUGAGGAAACCAAGGACUAAAGAGAAGUCACAUAUCUGGGCUCCAGAGCCAGAGUCCUUAACCACUGUACUGCACUGUGCUGGUCCCUGUGCCUGGAAUCUUUGUCCUCUGUCUUCUCUCCAUAAUUACCAGCAACUCAAAACUCCUGCUUCAAAUCUCAGGCCAGCAUCACCUCCUCCCGGAAGCCCCCCACAUUCUUCACAUUGGAUUCAGUGCCCUUCUCAUUGCUCCUGUAGUACCUGUCCAUCCCAUCAUACUCUCUACAUUUUCCUCACAGCCUGGGCCCUGAACACAGCAGGAGGGUUUGUCUCCUGUACCUUUUUCUAGCUCUGACAGCCAGCAUGGUACCUGGAACAUAGUAGAUGUUCGAUAAAUGUUAGAGGGAAGGUGAGAAAGGGAAGGAAGGAAGACAGAAAGGGAUGGGGGAGUGGCAUGGAGACGGAAUGGAGGAAAGUUGUGAAAGAAUUGGGCCCUCUUGGGCAGGAUGAUUCUUCCAGAGAGAGCAGAAGUAGCAGUUGGCUUAGAGGAACUGUGGACACCUUUGCCCUUCCACAAAAUGAGGCCCAGUGAGCUUCCACAUAUCAGUUAGAAACUGCAUCUGCUGACGAUGACAAAGACCCUUAAAGAGUAGCUUAAAGAAUAUGGAUAUUCUCUUCUCUCAGGAUGGAGGUGGACAGUCCAGGCUAAAAAUGGCCCUUGGUUAUCAGGGACCCAGGAUGCUCUGUCUUUGGCUAUAUCAGACCAACCAAGAAGUUUUUUGUUUUUUUGGGUUGUUUUUUUUUUUUUCUUUUUACAGCUGCACCUGCAGCAUAUGGAAGUUCCUGGGCUAGGGGUCAAAUCAGAGCUGCAGCUGCCAGCCUGCGCUACAGCCACAGCAAUAUCAGAUUCAAGCCACAUCUGCAAGCUAUGCUACAGCUUGUGGCAACACUAGAUCCUUAACCCACUGAGUGAGGCCAGGCAUCGAAGCCGCAUCCUUACAGAGACUACAUUGGGUUUUGAACCUGCUGAGCCCCAGUGGGAACUCUGCCACCAGGAAGCUUUCCUCCUCGCAUCAUCUAAGUCCAAGAUGGCUGCUUGAGCUCAGCAACCAUCACCUCAUUCCAGGCAACAGGAAGGAGCAGUGAAAAGAGGUAAAAGGGUCCCCUCCCUUUUAAUGAGACUUUCUGGAAUCCACUGACAACUUCUCAGCUUAUACCUCAUUGGGCAGACUCUAACCACAUGGCCACACUUAGCUGCAAGGAAGGCUGGGACCUGUUUAGUUGGGUACACUGUUGCCUGAAAUAAACUCAGGGUUCUGUUACUCAGGGGAGUAACAGCAGCAAGGGUGGGAGUUAGGGUAGAACAUCAGUAGACUCCUCAGCAAGCCACAGACAGGGUCACCCAGAACUGGAGUCAGGAAGCAGCUCUCUUGGUGGUGGCCUUCCAGGGGGUCACUGGUUGGUGGCUUGUACCUCUAAACCACAUAUUCUUGUUGACAAAGGAGACAAAGCCCUCAGACAUUGUAACUCUUGUUCGUUUUUGGUGCUCAGAGUUGCCCACUACAAUGAUUUAGAGUGGGAUUUGUCAAAAGUAAUUUUUAUCCCUAUUAAGAUCUUUGGUUAGAGAUCUAUUCAUUUUAGCCCUGAACCCCUCUCACACAAUACCAAUCCAGGAAGAAGCAAUUGUCUUUGAAAAACAACAACAACAAGAAAAUCCCAUGGGGUCAGAGUUCCUAUUGUGACUCAAUGGAUUAAGAUCCCAAUAUAGUGUCCGUGAGGAUGAGGGUUCAAUCCCUGGCCUCGAUCAGUGGGUUAAGGAUCUGGUGUUGUCACAAGCUGUGGCAUAGGUCACACAUGCGACUUGGAUAUGGUGUUGCUGUGGCUGUGGCAGAGGUCUCAGCUGCAGUUCAUAUUUGAACCUUAGCCUGGGAACUUCCAUAUGCCCCAGAUGCGGCCCUUAAAAAAAAAAAAAAAAAAAAUCCCAGGGAGUGACAUUGUAAACCUACCUCCCCCCCUCUUCCACGUUACUGGAAAAAAACUGAAGACAGCCUCCAACUCAAAACAGAAGCAAAUCAAUGCUAAGUCAAGUCUACACUAACCCUACCUUCAAUCAUUAUAGUGUAACUACAGAAAUCUAAAAGAAACAAGACACAACCAUAAAGAACACAAAUGCUAUCACUUACACCACUCGAGCGAGUUUGAAUCAUGCCUCCCACAUAUACCUGCACUUGGUCCUUGGGGACCACCUAUGCCAGAUUCUGGAGAGUGCAGGAGCAGGGUGUAGGUGGAGCUUGGAGAAAGGAAAAGGAGACUCCUAGGACCCGAAGGGGUGAUGAGAAAGCAGGAACAGGGAUGCAUGUAUGGGAGCAGCUUGGCUGCCCUGCUGCUGGAAGCUUUCUCAGUUUUAAGUCUAACAAGGAAGACACAUUUCAGAGUUCUGGGCUGAUUUCUUUGCAUCUCUCUGUGUGUCUCUGACAGUUUUCUCUCACGGGCUUUAGAAACAUCCCUCCCCUACUUCCUCCAGGGGCAGCUCCUGUGGAGUGGGAAUUCUAUACCCUCCGCAUCAAUAGGUCUUAAGCCUUUUGUGGGCUGAGGGAUGGAUGCAGAAACCACAGCUUUUUUUUUUUUUUUUUUUUUUUUUGAGAAUCUACUAAAGGCAAUGGCCCCUCUUUAUAGAAAUAAGUACAUGUAUGCUCAACAUUGGAAAAUCAUUUCAGGUAAUUUCUGGGCCUGCAUAUUUUAAAUCUCUGAUCUUAAAGGAAAUCCAAGAAUCAAAUAUAAAAAGAGCAUGCCUUUGGGAAACACCCUGAGGGACUCUGGGUUUUUCCUUUUUACAUUUUCCUGACCAAGGCGACAUUCCAACUACUCUGUAUAAUUAGCUAUAAGGAAUAACACUUUAUGACAACCUACUGCAGGCCAGUGUUAACAUAUGCAACCUUCACAAUAACCCUAUGAAGUGGGCACUAUCAUUGGCCCCACUUUAUAGAUGAGGAAACUGAAGCACAGAGAGAUAAAGUGACUUGCCCAAGAUCACACAGCCAGGAAGUGGCAGGGCUGGGAUUAGGAUUAUAAACUGUUAGGACUCCAGGGCCAUCUUUUUUGUGCUUUUCACCACUCCAUAGUGGCCCUUACCUCUUGGUACACUGAAGCCACACAAAUCGACCUAACCCUAAUGCAGCUAUCAGGCUCUGCCCAGUAGUAUGCUGGAAUCAGCUCAACCUGGCUCACAAGAGCCAACUGUGCGCAUCUCUUCCCAACCCCUGCUAUGAUGAUAGCUUGAAAUCAGCCAUGCUGGGAGUAUUUACACCACAGCAAUUGGCAGAUACCAUAAGUGAAGGCUUUCCCCUCAGAGAGCUGUUAUGAAGCAUUUACUAGCACGCCACUGGACCCACUUAUUCUAGCCCCACUCAGAUAGCUGCAACCUGCAGAUCCAGCUACCUGGGGAUCCUCCUAGCCAGUGAGGAGGACUUGGAUGUAGUCUGCUGCCUUCAGGCUGAGCGUGUGGGGUAAGAGGGAGAAUGGAGCCUCCUCUCUGACCCCACCAUAUGCAGGCUGUCUUCCAGCUGCCCUCAGCACCUUCCCUCUCCUAGAAGCCAGGCCUGGUCAUCUGGAGUCCAGAUCUUUUAUACCACAGCAGACUGACCAUUGUGGGACGAUUCUGACAGCACACCUGAUGUAGGGGGCCCUUGGCUGCCUAAAAGCUACAGCUGCCUUCCCAGCUCUGUACCCUUGUCAAUGGACCCUUAGCUAUUGAUUUCAGCCUGAGAUGGUUUAAGCCUGUCCCUCUGGGGUUGGCCCCUCUCUCCAGCCCCACUAGAUUCCAGCCCUGCUUCCUCUUCUCUACCUUCAGGGAGCACCCAGCAAACUGCCCAGCUGGGACCAAGACAGCUGAGACAGUGCACAUUUUCUGAUUUUUGUCCACAGGGAAACCCCAUCCAACAGCAAGGAUUCCAGUGGGCCAGGCCUACACUGGAGGCUUCCGUAUGCCCUCUCAGCAAAAGUCUCAGACCACAGGAAAGAAAAUAGAUUAAUAUCAUUUAGUGAGCAUUUUCCUUGUGCCAAGAGCUUUAUAUUAUCUUUUUUUUUAAUUCCUAUAAGAUCUCUAGGAAAUAAGUAUUAAUCUAUAUUAACCUAUUAAUAAUCUAUUAGACUAUAUUUAUCUCAUGUUAAAAAAGAGAAGGAGUUUCCACCACAGUGCAGUGGGUUAAGAAUUCGAUUGCA